UCUCCUUUCCUCUCUAAUGCUCCCUUAUAUGGAGUCUUAGCAAAGCUUCCUCUGUCCUCGAUGUCAAAGGAGAUUUCAGAAUAUCGCCUGGGCUCCUCUUCCUGUGUUGCCAUGCCCUCUGAGUCUCGCCCUGCCCACCUCUGCACUCUGUCCUCAUUGUCUCACUUCCAUGCUCCUCUUGGGGACACUUGCACAGCUUGCUGCCCCGUGAAUGCUCCAUGUCCCCUUUUCAGUUCCAGGUUGUUCCUCUGCUGGAAGAGCACGUGCCUCGCCUGGCCUCUUUGUCUGGACACCUUCUUUUCUUUAAGAAUCCACCCAGGAAUGGCUCCUGACGCUUCCAGGUCUGCAGAAAGCCAUCCCCGGCCCCUUCCUCACCCAGCCUGAGCGCUGUUCUCCCCUGCAGUGCCCACACAGUUCCCGGUGUGAACGGCUGACAUCCCGUUCACAUCGGCCUCCUGUACUGCACCCUGAGCUUGUGAGCUCUGUGACAGCAAAGGGCUUAUGUGAAGGGCGUUUGGCACCUUCCACAUGGAGGUGAACCCAUUUACCUUGUUAAUUCCAUUUGCUCCCACCUCUUAGGUACCUGCAUAUUUCUAUCCUUCAGAUUUCCUAGCACUGGGCCUUAUAACAGCAUUUCUUAAAAUGGGGUCCCCAGUCCAACAGCAUCAGCAUCACAUGGGAAUUUGCUAGAAAUGCAACUUUUGGAGCCCUCCUUGGACCUCUGGGAUCUAAAACUCUGCAGUGAGAACACGAGACUUUUGAAAAAACACAGACGAUGAAACUAUGUGCUCUUUCAGCCAAUACAAUGUGGGAAGUUUUUCUGUUUGUUAAAAUAAUUCAGGUCCUUACAGGGUAGCUUGGUGUAAAUGUGGCCACAGACUCUCAGUUUGGGUCCUCUCAUCUGGUCCUCCACCGUCUAAGGCCAGCACACCAUUCCUGAAGCCCAGCUUCACACCCUGGAUUUUACCCCUCAUCCCUUGAGGACCCGAAGACAAACAGCCUUGUCAACGCACUAGUGCUUUGUCUCACCUCAACUGCAAAGUGGCCAUGGGGUCUUCACCAGCAGCUGGGGAGGAUGCUCCAGAAACUGGCCCUGAUAGCUUUGCCCUGUAACUUGACUGGAUUGCAACCACUAUGGAGUUGGGUCAGACACAACCACUGGGCAGCUGACACGAGAUCUGCACAUUUGUUACUAGAAGAGCCAGAAGGCCACCCACUGUUCCUCCUAGUGAACCACUGGCAGAGCAGAUGUGCCUUUCACCUUCCACCAUGAUUAUGAGGCCUCCCCUGCCAUGUGGAACUAACUGGAAGGAGACAUGGCUUGCAUCAACAGCAACAGAGAUGGGCCCCACAGUUGCCACUGCCUUCGCCAGGUCCUUCUCCCAUGAAGUUCACAGAUGUGGGGAUCUCAAGAAGCAGACGUUCCUGGAACUCUUUCCCCUUCCUGUGCUUCUGGUAUUGAAAACCAUUCAUCACCUGCCUGAAUUCUUAAUUAGUCUUCAAGGAAAAGUAAAUAAAAUGUUAAAAAGCAAGAGAUUGAUUUGGUAAAGAACUGAGGAGAGGAAGCACAGAGUUCAGCAGUCCACAGCACACUCACCAUGUCUCCAAAGGCGUUCAUGGCUGUUGUGAAGCUGUGUUUCCCUUGGCUGUGUUCCUGAUUGUGCUGCUCAAUCAUCUUCAUGUUCUCCCACACUGCUCUCCUCCAUCCUUCUUCAUUCUAAAGACAAACAUGUAACUGAUGCUCUUUAUUUCUAAUUAAAACCCAGCCUAUGCUAACCAA